rnacentral:rRNA from 1 species
CUUCGGGGGUACUCGAGUGGCGAACGGGUGAGUAACACGUGGGCAAUCUGCCCUGCACUUCGGGAUAAGCCUGGGAAACUGGGUCUAAUACCGGAUAGGACCUUUAGGCGCAUGUCUUUAGGUGGAAAGCUUUUGCGGUGUGGGAUGGGCCCGCGGCCUAUCAGCUUGUUGGUGGGGUGAUGGCCUACCAAGGCGACGACGGGUAGCCGGCCUGAGAGGGUGUCCGGCCACACUGGGACUGAGAUACGGCCCAGACUCCUACGGGAGGCAGCAGUGGGGAAUAUUGCACAAUGGGCGCAAGCCUGAUGCAGCGACGCCGCGUGGGGGAUGACGGCCUUCGGGUUGUAAACCUCUUUCACCAUCGACGAAGGUUCGGGUUUUCUCGGAUUGACGGUAGGUGGAGAAGAAGCACCGGCCAACUACGUGCCAGCAGCCGCGGUAAUACGUAGGGUGCGAGCGUUGUCCGGAAUUACUGGGCGUAAAGAGCUCGUAGGUGGUUUGUCGCGUUGUUCGUGAAAUCUCACGGCUUAACUGUGAGCGUGCGGGCGAUACGGGCAGACUAGAGUACUGCAGGGGAGACUGGAAUUCCUGGUGUAGCGGUGGAAUGCGCAGAUAUCAGGAGGAACACCGGUGGCGAAGGCGGGUCUCUGGGCAGUAACUGACGCUGAGGAGCGAAAGCGUGGGGAGCGAACAGGAUUAGAUACCCUGGUAGUCCACGCCGUAAACGGUGGGUACUAGGUGUGGGUUUCCUUCCUUGGGAUCCGUGCCGUAGCUAACGCAUUAAGUACCCCGCCUGGGGAGUACGGCCGCAAGGCUAAAACUCAAAGGAAUUGACGGGGGCCCGCACAAGCGGCGGAGCAUGUGGAUUAAUUCGAUGCAACGCGAAGAACCUUACCUGGGUUUGACAUGCACAGGACGCGUCUAGAGAUAGGCGUUCCCUUGUGGCCUGUGUGCAGGUGGUGCAUGGCUGUCGUCAGCUCGUGUCGUGAGAUGUUGGGUUAAGUCCCGCAACGAGCGCAACCCUUGUCUCAUGUUGCCAGCGGGUAAUGCCGGGGACUCGUGAGAGACUGCCGGGGUCAACUCGGAGGAAGGUGGGGGAUGACGUCAAGUCAUCAUGCCCCUUAUGUCCAGGGCUUCACACAUGCUACAAUGGCCGGUACAAAGGGCUGCGAUGCCGCAAGGUUAAGCGAAUCCUUUUAAAGCCGGUCUCAGUUCGGAUUGGGGUCUGCAACUCGACCCCAUGAAGUCGGAGUCGCUAGUAAUCGCAGAUCAGCAACGCUGCGGUGAAUACGUUCCCGGGCCUUGUACACACCGCCCGUCACGUCAUGAAAGUCGGUAACACCCGAAGCCAGUGGCCUG